UACAGAGGUCCCAAGCGUUGUUCGGAUUCACUGGGCGUAAAGGGCGCGUAGGCGGUCAGCACAAGUCAGUUGUGAAAUCUCCGGGCUUAACUCGGAAAGGUCAACUGAUACUGUGCGACUAGAGUGCAGAAGGGGCAACUGGAAUUCUCGGUGUAGCGGUGAAAUGCGUAGAUAUCGAGAGGAACACCUGCGGCGAAGGCGGGUUGCUGGGCUGACACUGACGCUGAUGCGCGAAAGCCAGGGGAGCGAACGGG
rnacentral:rRNA from 1 species